rnacentral:rRNA from 1 species
AUGCUAAUCUACCUAAAUCUAUCGCAUAACUCCUUCAAAAGAUCAAUUCCAGGCCCACUCGAAAAGUUAAGCAGCUUAGCAUCAUUAGACCUAUCAUUUAACAAUCUCUCUGGUAGCAUUCCCACGUUCCUUGCCAACUUUACAUACUUGACUACCUUGAACCUCUCAUUCAAUAGUCUAGAAGGCCAAAUACCCGAGGGAGGUGUUUUCUCAAAUCUCACAUUGCAAUCUUUAAUUGGAAAUGUUGGGUUGUGUGGCGCUCCUCGCCUAGAUCUUUUGCCAUGCCUUGACAUACCUCACUCAAGAAACAAACAUGUGCUACAAAUUCUACUCCCAACACUCACACUAGCUUUUGGCGCCAUUGCCAUUUGCAUAUACCUAUUGUUCGGAAAGAAACCUAAGGGGGGAGAGGACAAACAUUUUGUCAAUGCAAAUGAUGUCAUAGGCCAUCAGAUAGUCUCCUAUCAUGAGCUCAUUCGUGCGACCAAUAGUUUCAGUGAAGAUAACAUCUUGGGAUGCGGAAGCUUUGGAAAAGUAUUCAAAGGCCAACUAAGCACUGGUUUGGUAGUCGCUAUAAAAGUUAUCGACGUGCAGCUAGAGCAGGCCAUUCGAAGUUUUGAUGCCGAGUGUCAAGUGCUUCGUAUGGUGCGACACCGCAACCUCAUAAAGAUACUCAACACAUGUUCCAAUCUUGAUUUCAAAGCGCUAGUGCUUCAGUACAUGCCAAAUGGCAGCUUGGAGAUGCUCCUACAUCAGACCAAGAGUACAGUGCGCUUGGGAUUCCUUGAGAGAUUAUGCAUCAUGCUAGACGUGUCGAUGGCAAUGGAUUAUCUACACCAUGAGUACUACAAUUUGAUCUUGCACUGUGACUUGAAGCCUAGCAACGUGUUGUUCGAUGAGGAGAUGACGACGCAUGUGGCGGACUUUGGCAUUGCAAGGUUGAUUCUAGAUGACAAUAGCAUGACAUGUGUGAGCAUGCCUGGAACAGUUGGGUACAUGGCACCUGAGUACGGAUCUCUUGGAAAAGCAUCGCGAAAGAGCGAUAUGUUUAGUUAUGGAAUCAUGCUCCUUGAAGUCUUCACCGGAAGGAGACCCACCGAUGCUAUGUUUGGCGCACAACUAACUCUUAGGCAGUGGGUUCAUCAGGCAUUUCCUGCAGAGCUUGUCCAAGUUGUCGAUGUCCAGCUUCUACAGGGUUCCUCUCUUUCUAGCUGCAAACAGGAUGGUGGUUUUCUUGCGUCGGUCUUCGAGUUGGGAUUGAUCUGCUCUAGUGACUUGCCUGACCAGAGGAUGACGAUGCAUGAUGUGGUAGUGAUGCUGAAGAAGAUCAAAGUCGAGUACACCAAACUGAUAGCUACUACUAUGCCACGUAGUGCAACACAAUGA